GACGAACGCUGGCGGCGUGCUUAACACAUGCAAGUCGAACGGAGCUGUUUAUUUCGGUAGAUAGCUUAGUGGCAAACGGGUGAGUAACGCGUAGGCAACCUGCCCUUAGGAUGGGGACAACGGCCCGAAAGGACCGCUAAUACCGAAUGCACUCUAACUUCCGCAUGGAAGAAAGAGGAAAGAUGGUGCAAGCCAUCGCCGAAGGAAGGGCCUGCGUCUGAUUAGCCAGUUGGUGAGGUAACGGCUCACCAAAGCGACGAUCAGUAGCCGGUCUGAGAGGAUGAACGGCCACAAUGGGACUGAGACACGGCCCAUACUCCUACGGGAGGCAGCAGUGGGGAAUCUUCCGCAAUGGGCGAAAGCCUGACGGAGCAACGCCGCGUGAGUGAAGAAGGUCUUCGGAUCGUAAAGCUCUGUUGUUGGGGACGAAAGGGAAGGGGAGGAAAUGCCCUUUUUAAGACG
rnacentral:rRNA from 1 species